GAUGAACGCUAGCGGCAGGCUUAACACAUGCAAGUCGAGGGGUAUAGUUCUUCGGAACUAGAGACCGGCGCACGGGUGCGUAACGCGUAUGCAAUCUACCUUUUGCAGAGGGAUAGCCCCAGAGAAAUUUGGAUUAAUACCUCAUAGUAUAGCAGUUUCGCAUGAAACCACUAUUAAAGUCACAACGGCAAAAGAUGAGCAUGCGUCCCAUUAGCUAGUUGGUAAGGUAACGGCUUACCAAGGCUACGAUGGGUAGGGGUCCUGAGAGGGAGAUCCCCCACACUGGUACUGAGACACGGACCAGACUCCUACGGGAGGCAGCAGUGAGGAAUAUUGGACAAUGGGCGCAAGCCUGAUCAGCCAUGCCGCGUGCAGGAUGACGGUCCUAUGGAUUGUAAACUGCUUUUUGUACAGGAAGAAACACUCCUCGUGGGGGAGCUUGACGGUACUGUAAGAAUAAGGAUCGGGCUAACUCCGUGCCAGC
rnacentral:rRNA from 1 species